UGACGGCCAUGACGGAAGCGGACAGCGCGUACGGCAGGAAAUAGA
rnacentral:sRNA from 1 species